AAGGAUUCCCCUAGUAACUGCGAGUGAAGCGGGAAAAGCUCAAAUUUGAAAUCUGGCAGUCUUUUUUUUCUUCUUUGGCUGUCCGAGUUGUAAUCUAGAGAAGUGCUUACCUGCACUGGACCAUGUAUAAGUCUCCUGGAAUGGAGCCUCACAGAGGGUGAGAAUCCCGUCUUUGACAUGGACUGCCAGUGCGUUGUGGUGCGCUCUCAAAGAGUCGAGUUGUUUGGGAAUGCAGCUCUAAACGGGUGGUAAACUCCAUCUAAAGCUAAAUAUUGGCGAGAGACCGAUAGCGAACAAGUACCGUGAGGGAAAGAUGAAAAGGACUUUGGAAAGAGAGUUAAACAGUAUGUGAAAUUGUUGAAAGGGAAACGCUUGAAGUCAGUUAUGUCGGCUGGGGAUCAACCUAGCCAUUUUUUUUGGCUGGGUGAAUUUCCUAGUCUGACAGGCCAACAUCAGUCUUGACUGCCGGAAAAGAGUGGAGGGAAUGUGGCACCUUUGGGUGUGUUAUAGCCCUCCGUCAUAUGCGGCAGUCGGGACUGAGGGAUGCAGUGUGCCGCGAGGCUGGGUUUUGACCACGUUCACACUUAGGAUGUUGGCUUUUAAUGGCUCCAAUCGACCCGUCUUGAAACACGGACCAAGGAGUCUAACAUGCCUGCAAGUAUUUGGGUGGAAAACCCUUGUGCACAAUGAAAGUGAAAGUUGAGAUCCCUGUCAUGGGGAGCAUCGACGCCCGGACUUGAGCUUUUAGCAAUGGAUCCGCGGUAGAGCAUGCAUGUUGGGACCCGAAAGAUGGUGAACUAUGCCUGAAUAGGGCAAAGCCAGAGGAAACUCUGGUGGAGGCUCGUAGCGAUUCUGACGUGCAAAUCGAUCGUCAAAUUUGGGU
rnacentral:rRNA from 1 species